rnacentral:rRNA from 1 species
CGCAGAUCAGAAUGCUGCGGUGAAUACGUUCCCGGGUCUUGUACACACCGCCCGUCACACCAUGGGAGUCGGAAAUGCCCGAAGCCGGUGACCCAACCAAAAGGAGGGAGCCGUCGAAGGCAGGUCUGAUAACUGGGGUGAAGUCGUAACAAGGUAGC